UUGCCCAGGCUGGGGGAGCAAAAUGAACUCGGGACAGGAAGAAUGGCUGCAGCAUGUCAUUUGAGGAACUGACAAGGAGCAACAGGGAAUGAAUUACCUCACAGGAUCCUAGGAGUCACCAAGCCCUUGAUGGCAGCUAACUCCCGUGACAGGUGAGACGGGCCACGACAAAUCGGGCUCCUGCUGGACUUUAAACUCUAUACCUCUAGAGCAGAUCCUGAAGGCCAUACAGGCUUGACCAGGGUAUCCAGGCUGGUCAUGGGGAGAUGUGAAGCCAUUCGACUCACAGCAGCGGGAGCUACCCACGGGGACGGCUGACUUACUGAGUCUGUACUCCAGAUACCACCUAUUGAGGUUGCCGGCAGAAUGCUGAGGAAAUAAAUCUGUUCACUAAGACAUCCCACCCCUUCCCUGCCAAGGUCCGGGGCUGGAAGCAGCCGGCAGACUAGCAGCGCC
rnacentral:lncRNA from 1 species